rnacentral:rRNA from 1 species
AGAAUCAACGCUGGCGGCGUAGCCUAACACAUGCAAGUCGAACGAGAAAGUGGAGCAAUCCAUGAGUAAAGUGGCGCACGGGUGAGUAACACGUGACUAACCUACCCUUGAGUGGGGAAUAACUUCGGGAAACCGAGGCUAAUACCGCAUAACACCUACGGGUCAAAGGAGCAAUUCGCUUAAGGAGGGGUCGCGGCAGAUUAGUUAGUUGGCGGGGUAAUGGCCCACCAAGACGGUGAUCUGUA